UACAGAGGGGGCAAGCGUUGUUCGGAAUUACUGGGCGUAAAGCGUGCGCAGGCGGUUAUGUAAGACAGUUGUGAAAUCCCCGGGCUCAACCUGGGAAUUGCAUCUGUGACUGCAUAGCUAGAGUACGGUAGAGGGGGAUGGAAUUCCGCGUGUAGCAGUGAAAUGCGUAGAUAUGCGGAGGAACACCGAUGGCGAAGGCAAUCCCCUGGACCUGUACUGACGCUCAUGCACGAAAGCGUGGGGAGCAAACAGG
rnacentral:rRNA from 1 species